AGCAGCCGCGGUAAUUCCAGCUCCAAUAGCGUAUAUUAAAGUUGUUGCAGUUAAAAAGCUCGUAGUUGAAUUUCGGGGUCAGCAGGUUGGUCGUGCCUCUGGUACGCACUGGUUUCGCUGAUUCCUCCUUUCUGAAGAACUGUAAUGUCAUUAAUUUGGUGUUGCAGGGAAACAGGACUGUUACUUUGAAAAAAUUAGAGUGUCUAAAGCAAGCUAACGCUUGAAUACAUUAGCAUGGAAUAAUGAAAUAGGACGUUUGAUCCUAUUUUGUUGGUUUCUAGGAUUGACGUAAUGAUUAAUAGGGAUAGUUGGGGGCAUUAGUAUUCAAUUGUCAGAGGUGAAAUUCUUGGAUUUAUUGAAGACUAACUACUGCGAAAGCAUUUGCCAAGGAUGUUUUCAUUAAUCAAGAACGAAAGUUAGGGGAUCGAAGACGAUCAGAUACCGUCGUAGUCUUAACCAUAAACUAUGCCGACUAGGGAUCGGAUGAUGUUAAUUUUUUAAUGACUCA
rnacentral:rRNA from 1 species